AGUGAUGGAGCGACGCCGCGUGUGGGACGAAGUCCUUCGGGAUGUAAACCACUGUCAGGGGAAAGAAAGUUCUGAUCUACCCCAGAGGAAGAGACGGCUAACUCUGUGCCAGCAGCCGCGGUAAGACAGAGGUCUCGAGCGUUAGGCGGAAUCACUGGGCUUAAAGCGUGUGUAGGUGGAUGUCUAAGUACCUUGUGAAAUCCCACGGCUUAACCGUGGAAUUGCUUGGUAUACUGGAUGUCUUGAGCCACUUAGGGGCAACCGGAACAAAUGGUGGAGCGGUGAAAUGCGUAGAUAUCAUUUGGAACGCCAAUGGUGAAAACAGGUUGCUGGGAGUGUGCUGACACUGAGACACGAAAGCCAGGGGAGCAAACGGGAUUAGAUACCCCGGUAGUUCUGGCCAUAAACGAUGUCCACUAGAUCGUGGCGCCUCUGACGGCGUCAUGGUCGAAGCAAAAGUGCUAAGUGGACCGCCUGGGAAGUACGGUCGCAAGGCUA
rnacentral:rRNA from 1 species